UACGGGGGGGGCAAGCGUUGUUCGGAAUUACUGGGCGUAAAGGGCGCGUAGGCGCCUGCUAAGUCACACGUGAAAUCCCUCGGCUCAACCGGGGAACUGCGUGUGAUACUGGCGGGCUUGAAUUCGGGAGAGGGAUGUGGAAUUCCAGGUGUAGCGGUGAAAUGCGCAGAUAUCAGGAGGAACACCGAUGGCGAAGGCAGGUCUCUGGGCCGAUACUGACGCUGAGACGCGAAAGCGUGGGGAGCAAACAGG
rnacentral:rRNA from 1 species